rnacentral:lncRNA from 1 species
AUGCAGGCAGGUCCCGGCAGGCAGAACUCCACACACCUCAUGGAACAGGGAGCAGCAAAGCCAAAAUACACAAUUUUCUGCACCAAAUUGGAGUUUUGGUCAGCAGCGUGUUGGGGCGACUCCCACGGGGUGGGUGGGGCACAGAGCCCUGUCCUCGGAGGAUGGAAGGGGAUGGGGAUGGGGCUGGGCUGGCUGGGGGCCAUGGCAGGGCGGCCAGGGCUCCUUCCCAGCCACAUUCCAAUGGGGAGCAGCUGUGGCAGCUCUGCCCUCCCACCCAGCAGAAGAGGCCCCGCACGGCGGGAGAGGGGGCAGUGCCAGUGCCGGGGCCACGUUCACACCACAGCCCUCACUGCCAGCCAGGAGCAUCACGGACACACAGACGGGACUGGCCCGGCAGGACACCCCCCACAGCCACCACACACCUGCCGGGAGGAACUGAGUGCCCAGCACUGUGACAAGGGACACGGAGCUGCCAGGGCACAGAGGCACAGGGGCUGCAGGGAUCCCAGAGGUGGGAGGGUCCUGCCAGUGCAGGACAGGGACUGUGGAGUGGGGGAGCCCUGCCACGGCACAGAGCUCUCCCACCAUCCGCCCGGCCUCUUGUCCUCUGUUGAGGACACACAAGCCCAGCCCUGGGCAGCUGCUACAAUCCUGGGAAGAUCCAAGGCUCCCAAAGCCAGUCUAGGAUGGCUGAGAACAGCAGAGCAAGGCAAGGGGGGAACAUGGGGAUGCAAUGACACAACACAGAUUGGGGCUGAGGUUCUGCAGAGCUGGGGAGGGCUCAGUGCAGACACCCAGGAACAAACGCAGCCCCAGCACCAGCCAGGAGCCAGUGGCACAGGCACGCAGGCAAACCCUUCCCUGCAGCUGCCCACCUUGGCUGCCUUCUCCCUCCCUCGAAGCCCAGGGUGGUGUGAGCACCAGGGCAGGGAAGGAGGGUCCCCUCAUAGCUGCUGCCUUGUUACAUCACACAGAAAGGAGCACAGGAAGACAGCUACCUACAAACCACUGCCAGCAGAACUCCUUCCCACUUGUUUGGGACCUUGGGGCACCAAAACAUCUCCUGACAAGCCUUGCCACGCCAACCACAAAACAACGCCACGGAUUACAGGAAGGAGGGAGGAGGGGAGAGAGGACAUUGCUGCCACGAUUGCUUUCCCCUUCCUUGGGGAUUCCUCAGCAGGAGGGCGCAGGCUGGCCCUGACAGCCUCACCCUGCCAGAGCUGGGCCCGGGCGGAGGGGCAGCCCCAGCCCUGA